rnacentral:ncRNA from 1 species
UAAAGGUUUGGUCCCAGCCUUUCUAUUAGUUAUUAACAGACUUACACAUGCAAGCAUCCACAUUCCAGUGAAAAUGCCCUUUAAUUCACCAAGAACAGAAGGAGCGGGUAUCAAGCACACUUCUAUAGUAGCUCACAACACCUUGCUUAGCCACACCCCCACGGGAUACAGCAGUGACAAAUAUUAAGCCAUGAACGAAAGUUUGACUAAGUCAUGUUAACCAGGGUUGGUAAACUUCGUGCCAGCCACCGCGGUCAUACGAUUAACCCCAAUUAAUAGACAUUCGGCGUAAAGAGUGUUGAGGAUUCAUGCAAAAUAAAGUCAAAUAUCAACUGAACUGUAAAAAGUCAUAGUUAAAACCUAAGAUAAGCUACGAAAGUGACUUUACUACAAUCUGCGUACACGACAACUAAGAUCCAAACUGGGAUUAGAUACCCCACUAUGCUUAGUCGUAAACCCAAUUGGUUCAAUAACAAGACCAUUCGCCAGAGUACUACCGGCAACAGCCUAAAACUCAAAAGACUUGGCGGUGCUUCACAUCCUUCUAGAGGAGCCUGUUCUAUAAACGAUAAACCCCGAUAAACCUCACCAACUCUUGCUACUUCAGUCUAUAUACCGCCAUCUCAAGCAAACCCUAAAAAGGAAUGAAAGUAAGCACAACUAUCUCUCACAAAAACGUUAGGUCAAGGUGUAACCUAUGGGUUGGAAAGAAAUGGGCUACAUUUUCUAUAACAAGAACAUCCUCAUAAAUGAUACGAAAGUUUUUAUGAAACCUAAAAACUAAAGGAGGAUUUAGCAGUAAACUAAGAAUAGAGUGCUUAUUUGAACAAGGCCAUGAAGCACGCACACACCGCCCGUCACCCUCCUCAAGUGACACGACAAAGCCCUAGCUUACUAACACAUGCUAAGUCAACCACACGAGAGGAGACAAGUCGUAACAAGGUAAGCGUACCGGAAGGUGCGCUUGGAUAAAA